CUGUUGUCGGCAGAUUCUAGGAUUGUUGAAGAAAACUAUGCACAAAUUGACCUCAACAGAAAGGCCAUAGCCAAUAAGAAAAGAGGAUCAACACCCCGACCAGAGACAGAACCAGUCAAUUCUGAAGUAAUGCCAGGCACAGCUCCCAGUACUGUCAGACCAAAUCACAUCUAUUGAAAUGGUUUUGAGUUCAACAACCAAGACCCUUCAAGACCAGUUCCAAUGUGAUUACAUCAAUGACCAGACCGAAUCAUCCUGGUGAUCAUUAAAGCAGCUUCCAAAAACGAUCUACCUAUUCUAGAGUUUUGGUGUUUCCAUUGAU